rnacentral:rRNA from 1 species
UACGUAGGGGGCUAGCGUUGUCCGGAUUUAUUGGGCGUAGAGAGCGUGUAGGCGGCUAGACAAGUCUGCUGUGAAAACUUGAGGCUCAACCUCAAGCUGUCGGCGGAAACUGUUUGGCUAGAGUCCGGAAGAGGAGAGUGGAAUUCCUGGUGUAGCGGUGAAAUGCGCAGAUAUCAGGAAGAACACCUAUGGCGAAGGCAGCUCUCUGGGACGGUACUGACGCUGAGACGCGAAAGCGUGGGGAGCGAACAGG